rnacentral:rRNA from 1 species
UACGUAGGGGGCAAGCGUUGUCCGGAUUUAUUGGGCGUAAAGAGCGUGUAGGCGGUUAGGUAGGUCCGUUGUGAAAACUCGAGGCUCAACCUCGAGACGCCGAUGGAAACCAUCUGACUAGAGUCCGGAAGAGGAGAGUGGAAUUCCUGGUGUAGCGGUGAAAUGCGCAGAUAUCAGGAAGAACACCCAUGGCGAAGGCAGCUCUCUGGUCGACCUCUGACGCUGAGACGCGAAAGCGUGGGGAGCGAACGGG